GGUAGGAGGUGGUGUUUACAGCUAAUUGAUCACAGCCAGUUACAGAUUCCUUUGUUCCUUCUCCACUCCCACUGCUCCCUUGACCAGCCUUAA
rnacentral:Y_RNA from 1 species